GGGAUUUUAUUGGGGNCGGGGGGAANGCGAAUAANCUUACCANCGUUUGACAUCCCGAUCGCGGAUUACAGAGAUGUUUUCCUUCNGUUUGNCUGGAUCGGUGACAGGUGCUGCAUGGCUGUCGUCAGCUCGUGUCGUGAGAUGUUCGGUUAAGUNCGGCAACGAGCGCAACCCACACCCUCAGUUGCCANCAGGUCAUGCUGGGCACUCUGGGGGAACUGCCCGUGAUAAGCGGGAGGAAGGUGUGGAUGACNUCAAGUCCUCAUGGNCCUUACNGNCUGGGCUACACACGUGCUACAAUGGUGGUGACANAGGGUUCAUCCCUAAAAGCCAUCUCANUUCGGAUUGCACUCUGCAACUCGAGUGCAUGAAGGCGGAAUCNCUANUAAUCGUGGAUCAGAACNCCNCGGUGAAUACGUUCCCGGGNCUUGUACACACCNAAUCACUAGUGAAUUC
rnacentral:rRNA from 1 species